GUUGAAACAUUAAUUAAUAUCAUUGUGAAAAAAGUAUUUCAUCAGUUUACUAAUUGUUAAGUUAAUUUCAACACUCAACAAUCUAAUUAAAAAUGAAAUCAGCUUUGUCAUUCGUUGUUUGUGUUUCCCUGAUUGUUGCCACUUCAGCAGCUUCAAUACUCAAGGACGAAACUUGUCCAACACCAACUAUUCCUAAAGGAAUCAGCGAUUGGGACUUUAGUUAUUUCACCAAAAACUGGUAUGAAAUCGGACGAACUCAUGAAACUACCCCAAGAACCGUUUACAACACAAUCUCAAUUGGUCACUUGUACAAAGGAAAAGUUAGUGUUACUUUUUCAGGAGAUUCUCGAAAUGUAAGUCAAUCGAUAAUUAACAAUCGAAUUGGAUGAUUGAUAAUCGUCUAAUAAUUUCCAUUAAUUAAUAGAGGAACACAAUCUCUUUGGGACAAAUUGGUCAACUUUGUCGUCGGUAAUUUUAAUGGUAAAUCAUAUUACGAUCUAGAAGAUGAACCUUAUUCGUUCAAUGUAACUACUCCAGAGGGUAAACAAGGUAUUUUCUGGAUGCCUUAUUAUUCAGACUCUGAUCGAUCAGCUGUUCUUGCAACAUGUGUUCAAAAUGAUGAUAAAACUACUGAAAUCAAAGCUUGGUAUGUUUCAAUGGAAAAACGAUCGGCUUUCCCAGCAGAGGUUGUAAACUUGGUUACUGAAUUAACUGGACGAAGCUUAAUCAAAACUUGCCAAGGAGAUUUCUGUUAAUUAAAACCGACCAACAAUCGAUUUCGUUUGUUUUAAAUUAAGAUACUUUUAUAUUAAACCUUUAGAGCAUAAAUUCAAAACAAUUGUAAAACAAUUCAGUUUAGAGAAAUUGAUCAGUAAAUUGUUAUUAUAAUAUAAGACUGAAGAGUUUAUCAGGAAACAAAAGAAUUACAUUUAACAUAAUUGAAAGGCAAUGGAUUAAAAUCAUUGGAUUGGAUAUGAAUUACAACCAUUUGACAAGAGGAUUUUAAUUACAAUUCGAUCAAGUUAAUUACAAUUAAGCUUUUCACUCCCUUCCCUCCUCUUAUAUUGCCAAUGGUGUUUAAAAUAAAAGCUACUUUGCUGUAAA